rnacentral:rRNA from 1 species
CCUACGGGUGGCAGCAGUGGGGAAUAUUGGGCAAUGGAGGCAACUCUGACCCAGCAACGCCGCGUGAAUGAUGAAGGUCUUCGGAUUGUAAAGUUCUGUGAUGGGGGAUGAACACAAUGACGGUACCACAAUAGCAAGCCACGGCUAACUACGGGCCAGCAGACGCGGUAAUACGGAGGUGGCAAGCGUUAUCCGGAAUGACUGGGCGUAAAGGGUGCGUAGGUGGUUUAGUAAGUUGGCGGUGUAAUUCCGGGGCUCAACCUCGGCGCUACAGCCAAAACUAUCAGACUAGAGUGCAGGGGAGGUAAGUGGAAUUCCUGGUGUAGCGGUGGAAUGCGUAGAUAUCAGGAGGAACAUCGGGGGCGAAGGCGACUUACUGGACUGUAACUGACACUGAGGCACGAAAGCGUGGGGAGCAAACAGGAUUAGAUACCCCUGUAGUC